rnacentral:rRNA from 1 species
UACGUAGGGACCAAGCGUUGUUCGGAUUUACUGGGCGUAAAGGGCGCGUAGGCGGCGCGGUAAGUCACUUGUGAAAUCUCUGAGCUUAACUCAGAACGGCCAAGUGAUACUGCAGUGCUAGAGUGUGGAAGGGGCAAUCGGAAUUCUUGGUGUAGCGGUGAAAUGCGCAGAUAUCAGGAGGAACACCCGUGGCGAAGGCGGCUCUCUGGGACGGUACUGACGCUGAGACGCGAAAGCGUGGGGAGCGAACAGG